CUACAUUCGCGGGUAAGCCAUCGAAACACAUAAGUUGUUGAAGUCAAAUAUCUCCUAAAGGCAAUUCGAAGAACGACGACGACGUGCUUCUAGGGCUAUCAUUUGAACUCACUUGAAACAGCAAAGGAAGAGAAGAGAUGUAGGUGGAAAAGAGUGAGGCUCAGGACCUGCUUAACAACUUCCGGAGUCAAUUGUUGAAUAUUAAGGGGGAGGAACCCGUCCGGUUGCUAAUUUUUGGGCCACAACGCAUGAGAAUCUUCAAAAACGCAACGGACAGGAUAGUCAAUAAAAAAUGAUCUGAUAAAGUAGGCGGAUAUGUUAACGAAUGAGUUGUACAAAAGAAAAACCGAUACAAUCAAAGUAACACAUCCGGUUCUACUAGUUGAACCACUGAAAUAGGUCACGGGGCAAUUUAUGUGUGUUUAAAGCAGACUACGGACGACUUAUGCAAUUGCGAUACGUAUUGUGGAAAAUUGCG